AUUGAACGCUGGCGGCAUGCCUUACACAUGCAAGUCGAACGGCAGCACGGGAGCAGUCCUGGUGGCGAGUGGCGAACGGGUGAGUAAUAUAUCGGAACGUGCCCAGUCGUGGGGGAUAACGCAGCGAAAGCUGUGCUAAUACCGCAUACGAUCUAAGGAUGAAAGCGGGGGAUCGCAAGACCUCGCGCGAUUGGAGCGGCCGAUAUCAGAUUAGCUAGUUGGUGGGGUAAAGGCCCACCAAGGCGACGAUCUGUAGCUGGUCUGAGAGGACGACCAGCCACACUGGAACUGAGACACGGUCCAGACUCCUACGGGAGGCAGCAGUGGGGAAUUUUGGACAAUGGGCGCAAGCCUGAUUCAGCAAUGCCGCGUGCAGGAUGAAGGCCUUCGGGUUGUAAACUGCUUUUGUACGGAACGAAACGGCCCUUUCUAAUACAGGGGGCUAAUGACGGUACCGUAAGAAUAAGCACCGGCUAACUACGUGCCAGCAGCCGCAGUAA
rnacentral:rRNA from 1 species